rnacentral:lncRNA from 1 species
UUUUUGAGUUCAAAGUGUUCACCUCUAUUCUCCGAACGUCGAUGAUUCUGAAGAAAGUUGGCAAAAGUUUGAUUUUCAUUGUGGUUCUUUAAGGAUCUUCUAAUGCGAAGGAAUUAAAGACGACUCAUUCUAAAGCGUCUACGAAAGUAUUCUUCUGGAAAUAUUGGAUUGAGCCCAAAAUAAUCACUUUUUAAUUGAAUGUUGCCGUUGACUCUUCCCCGAUUAAUGACGUUGUGUCCUGGUAAUGAUCCACCCCAUUGGACCGAAUUGUUCCUUUGCAUCAUUAGGUAUUGCCGCAUUUGUAUCUCGUCUUGCUCCAUAAUGAAAUUGUUUUGCACAAUUUGUCGAUUUCGCAUUUCAUCUUCAUAGUUAGCUUCCUCAGAAUCAGAAGAGUUUCCAUUCAAAGCUG